UUUCAGAGAUGGAUUGGUGCCUUCGGGAACUGUGAGACAGGUGCUGCAUGGCUGUCGUCAGCUCGUGUUGUGAAAUGUUGGGUUAAGUCCCGCAACGAGCGCAACCCUUAUCCUUUGUUGCCAGCACGUAAUGGUGGGAACUCAAAGGAGACUGCCGGUGAUAAACCGGAGGAAGGUGGGGAUGACGUCAAGUCAUCAUGGCCCUUACGAGUAGGGCUACACACGUGCUACAAUGGCAUAUACAAAGAGAAGCGAACUCGCGAGAGCAAGCGGACCUCAUAAAGUAUGUCGUAGUCCGGAUCGGAGUCUGCAACUCGACUCCGUGAAGUCGGAAUCGCUAGUAAUCGUAGAUCAGAAUGCUACGGUGAAUACGUUCCCGGGCCUUGUACACACCGCCCGUCACACCAUGGGAGUGGGUUGCAAAAGAAGUAGGUAGCUUAACCUUCGGGAGGGCGCUUACCACUUUGUGAUUCAUGACUGGGGUGAAGUCGUAACAGGUU
rnacentral:rRNA from 1 species